rnacentral:lncRNA from 1 species
GGGCUCUACACUUCACAGUAUGUUCUUUUUGAGUUGGUCCAUGAACUCCAAAAGGGUCAACUAAUAUUUACUUUCACAGGACAAUGUCCUCCACGGACUUGCUGUUCAAAUACACAACCAGUGUAAUUUAGUUUCAUCAUUAUAUUACGGAUGCUGAGAUGAGAGUGAAAUCACCAGAAAGUAGGUGAUAUAGAGAGUAAUAGUAAGAUAGUCACUGAAAGAGAAUAAUGCUGCUCAGAAGCAUCACUUCUUGCCUCCCAUCUUCAGCAACUAUAGACAACCUGUUCUCAGUGGCCAGGGCAGGCAGCUUGGUUCCUGAUAUCUCUCUGGAUGACACACUGCAAAGCUUCCUAUCCCUGGACUCAAGUGCUGCUCUCGAACAACAUUGUGCAGACAUUCAGCAACACUUGUCUGCUGAACAACUCACUGUUUUCAACCAGGACCUGACGUCUUUAUUGGGAGGGAGCACAAAUGUGGCCUUGGGGGGUGUGGGUGUUGUGGCACUAGCCCUGUCUCUACUCUUUGAUGUCUUAGCCCACAAGGCAAAAAGGCAUGGGGACAGCAAGAAUGCUAUGGACCCUACCAAAAUGAUCUUUGGAAUCAGCAAUUCCUCAAGAAUUGGGUCCCUCAUCAGUGAAUACCUGAAGCUGGUCCCUGAGAUAGCCAAUGAUAUGAACAAGAUGGCGGAGGUGACAGAGCUCUAUGACCAGUACCUGAAGUAUGAGCUGAUUGACCAUUUUGAGAGGAUGACGAACAAGAAACGCAUGGGGUCAGUGGCCAUGAAACAGUGGCUGUGUGGGGCAUCUUUCCACCUGCACAUGAGGAUUCAUGAGAUCCGCUUGGGCUCCGUUCCACGAGGCUCAGCAGAAGCACUGCGUCUCUCCUACAAGACUGCGUUCACAAGCCUGGUCAAGCUCUAUACAGCCCACCUACGCAAAAAUAUCCAGGAGACACCACCGGAGCCAGGAGCCAACAGCAUGCCAGGGACUCCUGGUCAUUGAGCCCCACAAGAACGUCACACACAGAGUUCAACACAGUCCCUGUGAGUCCAAGGUCAUUGGAGACGCUCUGCUGACCCGGAUCAUUGCUGCUCAGGAGAUUGAAGCGAGCAAAGACUUCUUUCUGCAGUCUGAACAUGACUUUUAUAAACUGAUCAACCAACGGGAAGGUUUUGAAUUGCAGAAAAGUAAUUCAUAGUCAAAAAGAAUAGUCAAUCAUGACUGUAAUUAAGGUGAUUUAAUGUUAGCUGCAAUCUGAAAAGUAAUGGAAUAAAAGUUCAUUUAAAGGGUGUAGUGGUAGUAUCAACGGUAGCGGUGAAUUUUAUAUUUUGGGAUGGCUAGAUUAAGAAUGCAUUGUGUAACCAGACGCUGAGUCUGUGUCAGCGUAAAUGUAUGUACUGUUUGUGUCUGCACUGAAGUCAGCAUCAGUCAAUGACCUGAUUUUUCAUUGGCUGAAAGAUUAGCCGACAUCUAAUAACCCUAGAUUCCGCUAUUUGGUUAUUAGAUGUUUGUCCUAGCCGGGACAAUGUCCUUCAGACUCUGAGCCCAUCAUGCAUUUAAAUAAACAGGUAGUAUUUGACAAAGUCUUAGGAAAGAGGAGCGUGUGAGACAGACAGCACAGCCCAAACAUGGGUAACAAAGCAUGCAGUCCAUCUUCAGAAACUAUAAACUGUCUGUUUGAGGUAGCCAGCCAUGCAGGCAUCGUUCCUGACAUCUCCCUGGACAGAACCCUCACCAACUUCCUAUCCCGCAACUCCACUGCUGCUCUGGAACAUCAAUAUGCAGCCAUCCAGCAGAACAUGUCGGCUGAGCAACUAACAGCCUUUAACCAGGAUCUGACGUCUGCAUUUGGAGGGAGCACCAAGGUGAGCCUGGGAGGUCUGGGUAUUGUGGCGCUGGCACUGUCACUGCUCUUUGAGGUCUUGACUCACCAGAUCCAUGAGCAAAGGUCAUACAUGGACCCCAUAAGGAGGAUCUUUGGAGCGGAUUACUCUUCAGAAAUCGGCCCUAUAGUCAGUGAGUACCUAAAGCAAGUUCCUGGUAUAGCCAAUGAUAAGAAGAGGAUGGCAGAGCUCCUCGAACAUUAUGACCAGAAGCUUAAACAGGAACUGGAUAACUUCUAUUCGAAGUUGAUCAUAGAGAGUAGAAUGAGCUCCGCUGGCGUGAAACAGUGGCUGAACGGGGCAGCAUUCCACAUGCACAUGCGGAUCCAUAGGUUCCGUCUAACUUCCUUACCAGAAGGCCCUGUAGAUGUGCUGAGCCAGUACUAUCAACUCAGUAUCCCUGGCUUGAUAAAGACUUAUACAGAGUUCCUACAGAGAAAUAUUCAGGAGACCCCCUCGUUGACAAAAUCCAACGGCAUGUCUGGGCUCCUGGUCAUUGAACCCUACAGGAACGUCACACACAGAGUUCAACACAGGCCCUGUGAAUCCAAGGUCAUUGAAGACCUCCUGCUGGCCCGGAUCAUUGCUGCUCAGGACAUUGAGCAGAGUAAAUACUUCUUUCUGCAUACUGAAAGUGACUUUGAUGAUCUGAUCAAACAACGGGGAGAUUUUGAGCUGAAGAAAUGAAUGAAAUCAUAUUUAUCUGCAUAAUGCACAGUGGUAGAAAUAACGAUUUUUACUCUUAUAGUUGGCUUAUUACCUGUAAUUAAUGUCUACUCAUGUUACAAACACAAAAAAUAUUUGAUUACCACAUAAUAAAGUAACAAAAAUUGAGAUAAACCAGCAUUCAUAAUGUUCUGUAGUGUGGGACUUCGGCACACAUUCCUAUUUACAGGGGGUCCUGUGUAAAAAGGGGGUGUUGUGUGAGGAGAUUGUGGUGAUUGGAUGUUGGAGGGUUCUGAAGAGGAACGGUAUUAGGAGAGGACCUCUGACAGGUUCAUUGAUAAUGUUGUAGAGUUGUAUAACUGUGGUAUAGUAUUAAUGCGCUGACCAAUCUCAUGCAUCUGUUUCAUACAUGGCUUCUGUUCCUGUGCCUUCCGUAUCACUGGUUAGCUACCUUGAGCUGAUAGCUAUAUCAAUUGUGUGUGUGUGUGUGUGUGUGUGUGUGUGUGUGUGUGUGUGUGUGUGUGUGUGUGUGUGUGUGUGUGUGUCUGUCUGUCUGUCUGUCUGUCUGUCUGUCUGUCUGUCUGUCUGUCUGUCUGUCUGUCUGUCUGUCUGUCUGUCUGUCUGUCUGUCUGUCUGUCUGUCUGUCUGUCUGUGUGCGUGCGUGCGUGCGCAGGGUUGCAGUACGUGCAUGUGCGUGUGUCUGUGUAGGGGGUGCAUCACUGUGUGUUUAUGUGCAGCUGUGUGUAGGAUUGGGCGCAGAAAUGUUUUUCAACACUAUCUGGUUGCUGCCAUCUUAAGGUCAGCCAGCUCCACAGAGUCGGCACAGGGCUGUAAUUGAAAGUAGAGCAUGUGAGCGGAGCUGCUGUAUUGAUAAGAGAGCAUCAGGCUCCGUCAGCAGGCCCUGUGUACGUCAGUGUCCCUGGGGAGGGGAGGAGGUGCUGGGAGUAUGCCAUUUGUUGGAGCAGGCCUCUCGUAAUGGGGAGGCAGGGUGUAGGGGAGGAGGCAGGGAGGGGAGUCAGGCUGGGGGAGGAAAUAGGCAUGGGGGUGGGUUGGUGUGGGCAGCCAGCAAAUAUAUAAAUAUAUGUGUAAUAGCCGCAGAUCUGCCAAUUAAGGGAGAUGUAAUGGGAGCAUGUGUGAGGUGUGCUAAUGAAGACAAGUGGGUGAACUAAUGUAACAGCACACACUAAAUGUGUGUGUGUGUGUGUGUGUGUGUGUGUGUGUGUGUGUGUGUGUGUGUGUGUGUGUGUGUGUGUGUGUGUGUGUGUGUGUGUGUGUGUGUGUGUGUGUGUGUGUGUGUGUGUGUGUGUGUAUGGGAGUGUGGGAGAGUUUUGCUACCUUGUGCCUGUAGAACAGCUCUUCAGUGCCACAGAGUUGAGUGUGAGGGGGCAGAGCACAGUGGGGUGUGAGGGGGCAGAGCACAGUGAGGUGUGAGGGGGCAGAGCACAGCGGGGUGUGAGAGGGCAGAGCACAGUGGAGUGUGAGGAGGCAAAGCACAGUGGGGUGUGAG